AAAUUAAGAGUGGCUCAACUCAUGUAUUCUUUCAGGAAUAGAAAUCUAAUUAAUUCAACAGGCCUCAGUAAAUAUAUUUGGGCACGUAAAUCUAAAUAUAUUAACUAUAAAUUAACUUGGGAGAAAGAUAGGAGGAGCGUCGUGU